rnacentral:rRNA from 1 species
CAGCCGCCACGGUAAGACGGAGGGUGCUAGCGUUGUUCGGAAUCACUGGGCGUAAAGGGCGCGUAGGCGGCCUGUUAAGUCGGAUGUGAAAGCCCGGGGCUCAACCCCGGAACUGCAUCCGAGACUGGCAGGCUUGAGACCGGGAGAGGAGGGUGGAAUAUCCAGUGUAGAGGUGAAAUUCGUAGAUAUUGGAUGGAACACCGGUGGCGAAAGCGGCUCUCUGGCCCGGACCUGACGCUGAGGCGCGAAAGCGUGGGGAGCAAACAGGAUUAGAUACCCCCGUAGUCCCUGUCUCUUAUAC